rnacentral:rRNA from 1 species
GACGAACGCUGGCGGCGUGCUUAACACAUGCAAGUCGAACGAAGUGGCGAACGGGUGAGUAACGCGUAAUCAACCUGCCCUUCAGCGGGGGACAAUACUGGGAAACGACUGCUAAUACCGCCUAGUGAUGGCUGCGAUGGAGUCUGAUUCGCUAGUGGGAGGGGUAACGGCCCACCAAGACGAUGGGCAGUAGCCGGUCUUGGAGGAUGAACGGACACAUCUGGAACGAGACACGGCCCAGACUCCUACGGGAGGCAGCAGUGGGGGAUCUUCCGAAAGGGACGAAAGUCCGACGGAGCAACGCCGCGUGAGUGAUGACGGCCUUCGGGUGGUAAAGCUCUGUUAAUCCGGACGCGGUACCGGAAUAGAAAGCCACGGCUAACUACGUGCCAGCAGCCGCGGUAAUUC